CUCAGAAACAAUGCUGCUUUGAUUUCUCCAAUGGGAGCUGGUGCUCCAAUUUCCUUAACUGGAAAGAAGUGGAGACUUCAUUUCCUGCCUCAGCCCGCCGUCUGAUUGUCCUGGCCGGAUGCUUGCUCCACCGGAAGGCCUUGUCUCAUCCGUUCAUAUCCCUGGCACUGGAAUAGCGCCCGGCACGUCUUUGGUACUCAGCAACUAUUUAUGAGAUGAAUGGCCUCAUAGAGCAGUCUCACACCUGUCCAGCGCUGUCCUUCACCACCUGUCUGUCUGGCUCCUUGCAACGACUCUAGGAGGUGGACAAACCAAGGAUUAGUUCAUGGGCCCCACUACACAGCUGACAUUCGAAGCUGCUCCCCACCGUCACCUCCAGCAGAAGAUGAAGGACGUCCCGUCAUUCAGAAGUGUCAGGUGGACUCUGUCCUGGUGUAGAGUAGAAGUAAGACGGGAGCUCAGUAGAGCUAGGAGAAAGGCAAAGCUGGUUUCCCCACCUCUGCCUGGAAGGUCCUCCCUCAAGGGUUCACCAGGAAAGCGACUCUUCCUUGAAGUCUCAGCUUCUCCAGGAUGUUUCCUUCUCUCAGCUCAGGCCUCAGUGAGGCCCAUUGCAGGCCCCACGGCCACACCAUCUGCUCCUGUCUGUCUCCC
rnacentral:lncRNA from 1 species